rnacentral:misc_RNA from 1 species
AAAAAAACAAAAACAAAUCAAAAAAGAAAAGAAACGGAUCCAAAAAACAUGCCCCGAUAAAAAUAACAACAAACCCUAACCCUAGCUUUCCUAUUUCGCACGAACGAGGGGACUCUCUUCUCUCAUCAACAACAUCUUUCUCUGUUUCUAUCCUCCAUAGGAAUUACAAAUCUCAGAGCGUUUAUCUGUAUUGUAUAGCUGUAGAUUUGUUUAAGGUUUUUCAGGUUGUCGGUGGUGAUGUAUGUUGCAAGGGUGGUUGUGGAAG